rnacentral:rRNA from 1 species
GACGAACGCUGGCGGCGUGCUUAACACAUGCAAGUCGAACGGAAAGGCCUGCUUUCCCUUGUGGAUUGCGGGUACUCGAGUGGCGAACGGGUGAGUAACACGUGAGUGAUCUGCCCCCAACUUGGGUAUAAGCCUGGGAAACUGGGUCUAAUUCCCGAUAGGACUGCAGGGUGGGGCCUGUGGUGGAAAACGAUUUUCUAGUGGUUGGGGAUGAGCUCGCGGCGUAUCAGCUUGUUGGUGGGGUAAUGGCCUACCAAGGCGGCGACGGGUAGCCGGCCUGGGAGGGUGGACGGGAGCAUUGGGCCUGAGAUACGGCCCAGGCUCCUACGGCAGGCAGCAGUGGGGAAUAUUGCACAGUGGGCGGAAGCCUGAUGCAGCGACGCCGCGUGGGGGAUGCCGGCCUUCGGGUUGUAAACUCCUUUCGACAGCGAGGAAGCCACCUGGAUGGAAGGGUGGUGACGGUAGUGGUAGAAGAAGCACCGGCUAACUACGUG